rnacentral:sRNA from 1 species
AUGAUUGUGAUAUUUGCAUUUUCUAUAAAUCCUUGCUCCGUGU